UACGGGGGGGGCAAGCGUUGUUCGGAAUUACUGGGCGUAAAGGCUCGUAGGUGGCCAACUAAGUCAGACGUGAAAUCCCUCGGCUUAACCGGGGACGCUGCGUCUGAUACUGGAUGGCUUGAGUUUGGGAGAGGGAUGCGGAAUUCCAGGUGUAGCGGUGAAAUGCGUAGAUAUCUGGAGGAACACCGGUGGCGAAGGCGGCAUCCUGGACCAACACUGACACUGAGGAGCGAAAGCCAGGGGAGCAAACGGG
rnacentral:rRNA from 1 species